rnacentral:rRNA from 1 species
CAGUUCGGAUUGCAGGCUGCAACUCGCCUGCAUGAAGUUGGAAUCGCUAGUAAUCGCAGAUCAGCCAUGCUGCGGUGAAUGUGUUCCUGAGCCUUGUACACACCGCCCGUCAAGCCACCCAAAUGGUCCGCACCCGAAGUCGCUACCUUAACCAGCUUGCUGGAGAGGGGCGCCGAAGGUGAGGGUCGUGAGGGGGACUAAGUCGUAACAAGGUAGCCGUAGGGGAACCUGCGGCUGGAUCACCUCCUUU